rnacentral:rRNA from 2 species
GUUUGAUCCUGGCUCAGGAUGAACGCUGGCGGCGUGCUUAACACAUGCAAGUCGAGCGAGAAUUAAGUGGCGGAAGCUUAGGCAGAAGAAACUUAAGGAAAGCGGCGGACGGGUGAGUAACGCGUGGGUAACCUUCCUUAUACAGGGGGAUAACAUAUUGAAAAGUAUGCUAAUACCGCAUAAGACCACAGGGUCGCAUGACCUGGUGGUAAAAACUCCGGUGGUAUAAGAUGGACCCGCGUCUGAUUAGCUAGUAGGUGAGGUAGAGGCUCACCUAGGCGACGAUCAGUAGCCGACCUGAGAGGGUGAUCGGCCACAUUGGGACUGAGACACGGCCCUGAAACUCUCUAACCGGAGAGGCAGCAGUGGGGGAAUAUUGCACCAAUGGAGGGAACUCUGAUGCAGCGACGCCGCGUGAAGGAAGAAGGUUUUCGGAUCGUAAACUUCUAUCAGGCAGGGAAGAAAAUGACGGUACCUGACUAAGAAGCCCCGGCUAACUACGUGCCAGCAGCCGCGGUAAUACGUAGGGGGCAAGCGUUAUCCGGAAUUACUGGGUGUAAAGGGUGCGUAGGCGGUAAUGUAAGUCAGGUGUGAAAGCCCGAAGCUCAACUUCGGGAUUGCACUUGAAACUACAUAACUAGAGUACAGGAGAGGUGAGUGGAAUUCCUAGUGUAGCGGUGAAAUGCGUAGAUAUUAGGAGGAACACCAGUGGCGAAGGCGACUCACUGGACUGUAACUGACGCUGAGGCACGAAAGCGUGGGUAGCGAACAGGAUUAGAUACCCUGGUAGUCCACGCCGUAAACGAUGAAUGCUAGGUGUCGGCUCAUUAAGGGUCGGUGCCGAAGUAAACACAUUAAGCAUUCCACCUGGGGAGUACGUACGCAAGUAUAAAACUCAAAGGAAUUGACGGGACCCGCACAAGCGGUGGAGCAUGGUGGUUUAAUUCGAAGCAACGCGAAGAACCUUACCAGGUCUUGACAUCCCAUUGACCGGGACUUAAACGUCCUUUUCCUUCGGGACAAUGGAGACAGGUGGUGCAUGGUGUCGUCAGCUCGUGUCGUGAGAUUGUUUGGGUUAAGUCCCGCAACGGAGCGCAACCCCUAUCUUUAGUAGCAGCACAUAAUUGGUGGGAACUUAGAAGAAGAACUGCCGAGGGAUAACUCGGAGGAAGGUGGGGAUGACGUCAAAUCAUCAUGCCCCUUAUGAUCUGGGCUACACACGUGCUACAAUGGCGGUAACAAAGGGAAGCUAAGGAGUGAUCCGGAGCCAACCCCAUAAAAGCCGUCCCAGUUCGGAUUGUAGUCUGCAACUCGACUACAUGAAGUUGGAAUCGCUAGUAAUCGCGAAUCAGCAUGUCGCGGUGAAUACGUUCCCGGGUCUUGUACACACCGCC